AGCCCAGACUCCUACGGGAGGCAGCAGUGAGGAAUAUUGGUCAAUGGGCGGGAGCCUGAACCAGCCAAGUCGCGUGAGGGAAGACGGUCCUACGGAUUGUAAACCUCUUUUGUCAGGGAGCAAAGGGCGCCACGUGUGGCGCUUUGCGAGUACCUGAAGAAAAAGCAUCGGCUAACUCCGUGCCAGCAGCCGCGGUAAUACGGAGGAUGCGAGCGUUAUCCGGAUUUAUUGGGUUUAAAGGGUGCGCAGGCGGAAUGUCAAGUCAGCGGUAAAAUUUCGGGGCUCAACCCCGUCGUGCCGUUGAAACUGGCGUUCUUGAGUGAGCGAGAAGUAUGCGGAAUGCGUGGUGUAGCGGUGAAAUGCAUAGAUAUCACGAAGAACCCCGAUUGCGAAGGCAGCCUGCCGCAGCGUUACUGACGCUGAAGCUCGAAAGCGCGGGUAUCGAACAGGAUUAGAUACCCCAGUA
rnacentral:rRNA from 1 species